GACCCUAUCGUCUAGUGGUUAGGACAUUAGGUUUUCAUCCUAAAAACCGGAGUUCGACUCUCCGUAGGGUCA
rnacentral:tRNA from 1 species